rnacentral:rRNA from 1 species
AGGGUUUAUUUUCUAGAUGAGAAUUUUCUUUGAAUUUGGUUUUUUGGUGCAGAACCCAAAGGUGGUGAGCAAGACGGAAAGACCCCGAGAGCUUGAAUUUAUUUUUUUACUUGGGGAGGGGGUAUAUGUUUCAUGUAUUUUUUGAUCCUCUGCGGAUUGUAGGGAUAAGUUACCUCGGGGAUAACUAGGUAAGAAGCAAGGAGAGGUCAUAUUGAUUUGCUUGGUUGCCAUCUCGAUGUUGGCUUGGGGAAGCAAGGAGGCGCAGCAGUUUCUUUGUGGGGUCUGUUCGACCAUAGUUCCUCAUGA